AUCGCUCGCUGUCGUCAGUGCUAGGAACCUGCGCCCGGCUGAGCUGAGCGAGGCGAGAGGAGAAAGCGAGGCCCGGGGACGGGACUGAGAGCUCUGAAAGGAGGGAGGCGGCUCCCGAGUACUCCGCGCGGGGCAGGCCCCGGCCUCGCCUCUUCGCCCAUUUUUAAGGCUCGAGUUAGAGGCCACCUCCUCCGAGAAGCCUUCGGUGACACCACCUCUCCCAGACGGUUCCCCUUUCUGAUUCCCACAGCAUUUUCCAACCAUUCACGGUCAGAACCACUCACCAGGACGUGUUGUCACCAUUUUACCGCUUUGCCUCGUCUCUUAACUAGACGAAAUGGGUUCCUUUUGGCUCUUUGGAAAGGGAGGCUGUCUUCUAUUUAUUUCCGUGGUAAUCCCACCUCCCACAACAAGUUCCAUUCUACAGCAAUGUCUUUUCUCUUGCUGAGAACCAUUCAAGUCUAAGUUUUCUGCCGUCUUCCUUCCUCAUUGUGGUUUGGACCUUCUCGAGAAAGAAUCUGGCCUCAGUCUCCCUCUUCCACACUCAGGGACCGCCACCAUCACAGGCACUCGGUAGAUGUCUGCUGAAUGAGGAUAACUUCUACCCAACACCGUGAAGCCUGGCCCAGGGUCUGGCAUACAGAUGCCGUGUUUGUAAGUCCUGGUUGCUCAUCUCGCCCACUUGCACAGCCCACCUGUGUGGCCGACUCAGGAUUGACCCACCUGCUCUCUUCAGGCCAUAUUCCCACGCAGAAGUGGGUCCCACUCCUCAGGCCUCUGUGCUGGCCCCGUCUGUGGGGUUAGCAAGCAGCCCUGCUCUCCAUUUCCAGCUCAGAAGCAACUGGAUCGUUACCUCAUUGGUGACAACUUGACUGUGCUGCCCAGAGCUGAUAAGAAACAUCACCCGGGGAAGACCAGCUGCCUCUUCCUUGCUUCCUAAUCAGGGUGGAAAUACUGCUAAAUAUAUCACAACUCUUUGCAAGCAUCGUUGGGUAAUGAUCGGGACAUCUUUGUGGGUUCCCUAUCAUUUUCUCACAAAGUUGAGCCUUUCAAGGUCAGUUCUAGGCCAGCCAGUCUGGGAGUCAUUCUUUAGAAUCAGAAGAGAAUUUAAGAAGAGGAGAAGAUAAGAUUGUCUCUAAAACCUGCUAAUGAGAACUACAGGAAGGUGGGGAUGCUAGCUACUUUUAAUAUUUCUGGUUUGAACCCCUUCCUCCACCCCAGAAUGAACUGAGAGUAGGUACAGAAAUAGAUAAUGCAAAGACGGUUAGGGUUGAGGGUAAGCAGAAAACUACCCAUCUAGACCGAAGGAAGGCUUGCUAACAUAUCAGUAAGCAAACAGCUUUCUAAUCUGCAGGUAACAAGUUUUACAUCCCUGAGGACACUUUUUGAGAUAGGACUUUGUUUGUUUGUUUGUUUGUUGUUUUUUGUUUUUUUGAGACAGAGUCUCGCUCUGUCUCCCAGGCUGGAGUGCAGUGGCAUGGUCUCGGCUCACUGCAACCUUCACCUCCCAGGAUCAAACGAUUCUCCUGCCUCAGCCUCCUGAAUAGCUGGGAUUACAGGUGCAUGCCACCAUGUCCAGCUAUUUUUGUGUGUGUGUGUGUGUGUGUGUGUGUGUGUGUAUUUUUAGUAGAGAUGGGGUUUCAUCAUGUUGGUCAGGCUGGUCUGAAACUCCUGACCUCGUGAUCUGCCCUCCUCAGCCUCCCAAAGUGCUGGGAUUAUAGGCGUGAGCCACCGGGCCCAGCCUGGGGCUUUUUGAGACCCUAUUGAAGGCUGAGGAAGAAUCUGGAAGCUAAAGAGUAACCCAUUCCACCACCUGCUCUGAAGAUAGAAGAAGCAAAAAAAGAUUAAAUUGUACAAAAAGCACUUAAAUUAGACAACAGAAGAAUUUCCUGAUACAAAGUGGGUGUCUAAGAUGUGUUAAACAAGAUGCCUGCUCCAGCCAGGACUCAGACACUCCUGGAUGGAGAGCAUCUUCACAGUUUGGGAUAAAAGUGACUAUACAGAGUGGUGGAGUGAAGGCUGCAGGCCCCUCCCCAAGGUGGCAUCUAACCCCGGAGGUAUCAGGACCUCAGAGGCUACCCACAUGAUUUCCAGCUGAUGAGCAGAAAUAGCUGUGGCAGGUGCAGGCUUCACUUGCUGCCACCAACAUGGGAGCUCACCAAACACCCAGUGGCCAAAAGAACCAGGGUCUCUCUAAGCCCUGGGCUCACCGCCAGGCAAGCUUGGGUGCUUGGGAGGGCCGUCGUUCUUCACAGUGCAGCCCCUGGAUUUCUUCUCAAUUUACUCAACUCUCUCUCUUGAAUCCCAUCUGUGCAGCUUAGAAGUCACAAAUUAGAACCCCCCAAGGCAAAGCUGACCAUAGAUACAAAUGGUUUUGUCUGUAUAGUGUUUAAGCACUUAAAAAAUUCAUUGUGAACAUUUAAUAAUUAGAAAGUGUCAAAAUGAAAAUAUCUAUAGUUUCUCUCUAAAAACCAGAAGAUCUGUUAACACUGAUCCCACACUUCUAUUUGGCAAUGACUGGCCCCUAAGACAGGGGGUAUGUCCUCUAGCUCACCACAGUCUCCACCUUUACCUACUGCAUCCCUGCUGAGACAAAGUGGUACAUGCCAUUUAUUAAGGAUGAAUGCUGUUUUUUUUAAUUAUACUUAAUCCUCAUUUGCAUUACCUGCCUUCAUUCUGGAGGUAUUUGAGUUUGCAUCUCCUGAUAAAGAAUAAAUCUCAAAAUUGUCAUCUCUAACUUC
rnacentral:lncRNA from 10 species